rnacentral:rRNA from 1 species
UACGUAGGGGGCGAGCGUUGUCCGGAGUUACUGGGCGUAAAGCGCUUGUAGGCGGUCCACCAAGUUUGGGGUGACAGUUGCCGACUUAAUCGGCAAAGUGCCUCAAAGACUGGCGGACUUGAGGGCCACAGAGGGACAUGGAACUCCAGGUGUAGUGGUGAAAUGCGUAGAUAUCAGGAGGAACACCGGUGGCGAAGGCGGGUCUCUGGGCCGUUACUGACGCUGAGGAGCGAAAGCGUGGGGAGCGAACAGG